UUUUAGGAUAAGACUGGACACCCCUGAAGGAAGAACUGCAUUUGAUACAGAUCUCCUGGUUGGCUUGGGCACCUGAACAGGAAGCUGGUGGGCGGAGCUGGGAAGAGCGGUCUUUAAUUGAGGCACACCUGUGGAUGUGCUUUAAUGUGCAAACUAAAUGUUGGCUCCACUCUCAAGAAGGUCUGCCAACUGCAACUGGAGCCGUCUCCACGGUAGAUUGCAAGCAAUGAAUAGCCAGCGGAGAUCCAACAUGACCACUGCAAAACACCAAGAGUCAACUUUCACCUUGGCACCUCAAAAGGAAGAGACCGAGCUUCUUUGCAGUGAGGUACACCAUGUUGGCUGAAUGCACAUGGAACGACUUGGGGCAUUACUCAGCAGUCUUGUACUUAAUCAAGCAAAUGGCCAUGAUUGAAUGCGGGAGUAAUUACACUGCCACGACCUACAUGCGAGAGCUCAUCUGAAAUCCCACAGGGAAGGGAAGGGGGCGGGGGGGCCAGCCCGCCCGUACCGCCAGGCGGACCCCAACACCCGCAUCCCCCGACCCCCUCCUGCACUGCCACACCUUCAUCAAGAUGGGACCUGUGCUAAAACACUGCUCAAAUCCUCUGACUGGAAGGGGUGGCUGGGGGACUCAGACUUGCCCUGAAUGUCUGGCUGCUAUCAAAUAAGGACUUACUUCAGAGUAGAAGGGUAAUAUUCUGGCCCCCCCCCCCCCAGUUGCAGAAUCCUUAUUUGCUGGUGCGUGUGUUUGAGCAGUCAAACUUCAGCGCUUUUUUUUAAAUCAGCCAAACCACUUCCUCCGACCAUCUGCGGAGUCCCGAUACUCGUUGUAAUUGUUAAUACAGCGAACUUUGCCCUUUCUGAAAUGACCCUCGCUGUCGCCAUGCCAACGCAGAAUGUUCAAAGUUCAACAUACGCGGGUGACAGGAACUGGUUCCGGCGGGUCAACCUGCGACACGAACGGAUCGGCAAACACUGCCUGCCGCCAUGUUUGCGCCUUUCACACACGCCAGGGCGUCUGUGUGUGCGGUGGGCGAGGCGCGCAGACGGAGGGCGAUACGCCUCACUAAAACAGGGCUCCGAAUUCCCGCCGCACAGUCCGCAGGUGUAUUGCAACAGGGUGUGUAUUUUAACUGCCAAGCCGUGGGGGGAAAGAAUAACACUUAAAAUAAUGUCCCAUGAAAAAUAGGUGUGAACAGUGUGCUGUUUUGUGGACAUUCGAACAUCUAUUAUUAUUCUUUUAUUCCGUGAGAAAAGAAUUCCAGCACCCCCAGUUUUCACUGCCUCCGUGGGAGAAUUCCACAAUCUUCCGGGCUAUUCCGCCGGCACCGUUGCUCAUGCCUGCUUGUUUGAACACGUUUUUUACUGGGCCGUAUUAAAGUGCUAUAAAUGA